rnacentral:lncRNA from 1 species
AUCAUAAUGUUUUCACUCUGCCAUUCCAAAUUAUAAAUAUCAGGUGUCAAAGUUAGAGAUUUGUUACUCCCAUUCCUGAAUGGAGAUGCUAAUGGGUUACAAAGUUCCGAUGGCCUGCAUUCUAUGGUAGAAAACUUGCUAUAUUACUGGUACUGUGGUUUAUUUUAUUUCUCAUCUGCUCUAUCUGCUAGAGAACCAAUGUCCUAAUGGCAUGUAUAAUGGGGUGAUGCCAGUCUUGUCUUGGUAAUGCACCAGCCCGGUUAGAGAUGCUCUUUGUCCAUCUGAUUAGUACUUAGCGGCUUGGUGAACACUGAAUAGAAUUAAAAUGAUGUCUAGCUUGUGAGAGAGUUACACAAAGUAAGCCCUGCCCGGAAUACAGGGUAUUUGCCCUGUUCCCAUGGGGAAUAAAAUGGUUCCUGUGAAAUUCUUGCUUUCCAAAGAGGCCCUUAGUUUGAAGAGAUUGGAUUUUGUGCAACCAGUUGCCGACACACCCCAUUAUUCAUUUUUUUUGGAGUUUUCAAAAAAAGUGUAGAACAGUUGAUGGAUUUCAUCCCUGCUUGCAUUUUCAUGCAAUUAUUCUGAGUAGUUCAUUAAGAUAGCUAAACCUAUGGAUAGAUUUUUAUUGGCCAAGCAUAUGGAACUGAUGGUAGCCUGAUGGUGAGCGGAUAAUCCUUGCCUAUUUUAAUGCAGCCAAAUCUGGUUUUACCUGCAUAAUUCUUGCUCAACAUUUGUGCAAAACAAAACAUAUAAUCCUCCUUAAUUGUGAGUUGAAAUGCGGCACAACUGCAAUGUUGGGCUUCGGGCGAUUCAAACGAGUUAUCUUGAGCCUGCAUGUGGGAUAGCAGAAGGUGAUGAUACAGUUGGAUCUGAGUGCACAAAAUGAACUGUUUUGUUUUGUUUCGCAGGCUAGUCUGCCAUCUAAGAUCUCACCGGCCCCUACAAGGUUUUCGGCGCCGGUGCCUUUGCCGGUAGAGAAUUUUGAUAAUGGAUCAACGGAGGAACCCGAGCAUCCUAAUAUGAAGGUAUUUGUAUUUAUCUCUGCAAUUGUUUGGUAGGACACGAGGCUGCUGAUUUUUCGUGCUCCGCAUUGUCCAGUUACGCUUAUGCAGAGGUUUAUUUAUGGUAUUCUAUUGGAUAUGCAUAUGCUGAUGUACAAUAGGAAUGUCUGCAUACUGUGCUAUGUUUUUUACGCACAUAGAAUAUUUGUAUGUCUUAUUAUAGCCUCUAAUUAAAAGUUACUGAUUCACUAGGAAAAUCCACUGAAGGAAUCGGCCCCCUUUCUCCAGGAGGUACAUAUCUAGUGCUGGGCAGGCUUUUUUUAGCAAUUGAAACUUCUAAUUUUAACCUCUACACUUGUGAAGCCUAUUUCCAGUGGUCAUCCUACAAUGAGCCUGAAAAACAACCGCACAUAUCAUGACUCCAAGAUGAUAUAUCCUGACCUGGACGUUGCAUAAGAAAAAGGAAAUGUAACCACCUUUUUUUCUUAGCUUAUGAGAGAAGACAGUUAUAGUAGUAGCAUUCAGGUUUCAUUACUGUGCAUUCAAAAAAAGCAGUCACAAGCACAUGACGACCCUACAUCAUAUUUCCACCAUUUUCUAAGUAAGAAAAAAAAUUUCUACUGUUUUAUCAUUGGUUAUCGUCCGUGCAAUUUUACUAGUUUCCUUGGUCUGAAAGCCUUACCAUCAUUUUCUUCUUGCGCGCGGUAAUGGCAAGAGCAUAUUGUGCAGACGAAGAGGAUGAGAAGAAACUUGUGGUUCUCAUCCAAUCUUCAUGAAACUCUCUUUAUGUGUGUUUGUGCACUUGUUGGGUCCUUUUUUGGUGCGCUUGCACUUGUAGAAGUAUUCUCUUAUGCACAUGUAAAAUUAUUUUGAUGUGCCCUUGUUAGACAUUGAAACUUAAUGCAUGGAGUUGGUGGAUGAUGUAUUGUAUUUGAUGUGAUAUGCUAUUGAAAUGAAAUAUACAUUUUAUUUGCAAUAUUUUAUUUUGUUGUAUUUAUUUUUAAUGGACCUAUCCUGAGAUAUGCGUGCUUCUAGCAAAAUAAUGCUUCAAACCCAAACAAAUCAGACAUUUUCAAUAGUAAAAUAGGUAUUAGGCCAGGCCCAUGUAGGCUAGAUUGGUGGACAGGGAUCUGAAAUUUAUGAUGAUUCCAUUUGGUCACUAGCAAUGCCACGUCAUCUUGGCCACGUCACAUCCUACGUGGC